GGGCCCGCACAAGCGGUGGAGCAUGUGGUUUAAUUCGAUGAUACGCGAGGAACCUUACCAGGGCUUAAAUGUAGAACGACCGAUUUGGAAACAAGUCUUCUCUUUGAGCGGUCUACAAGGUGCUGCAUGGUUGUCGUCAGCUCGUGCCGUGAGGUGUCGGGUUAAGUCCCUUAACGAGCGCAACCCCUAUCUCUAGUUGCCAGCGGAUAAUGCCGGGGACUCUAGAGAAACUGCCCGUGCAAACGGUGAGGAAGGUGGGGAUGACGUCAAAUCAUCACGGCCCUUACGUCCUGGGCUACACACGUGCUACAAUGGUCGGUACAGAGGGCAGCUACCACGUGAGUGGAUG
rnacentral:rRNA from 1 species